GCCUCUCUGUCGCUCAGUUGGUUAGAGCGCUGCAUUUGAAUCGCAGGACCGCGCAGGUUCGAUGCAUGCGGGAGGGC
rnacentral:tRNA from 1 species